UAGAUAUAUCUUGUUAAAUAGUAAAAAAUGGUAGUUAGUAAAUGAAAAAUAAUUUAUAAGAAUAGAAAUAAGUAAUUUUUAAUGAAAAUUUUAAGAUAAACUAUAAAAUACAAGUACUGGGAAGGAAAGGGGGAUAUAAAAGGUAAAGAAAAGAAAUAUUCAAUAUUUGUACCUUGUGUAUAAUGGAAAAUCUAUAUAAUAUAAAAUAAAAUUAGGAUCCCGAAAUAAAAAUAGUUAAUUUUAUAAUAAAGUUUUUGUAGUAAAAAAAUUUUUAAUAUAAAGUUAAAGGUGAAAUGUUAGAACGAGUUUUAUAAUAUCUGGUUUUUUAAAAAAUAAAUUUAAUUUAGUUCUUAUUAUAAUAAGUAAUAAGAAGAAAAAAUAGAAAGGACAAGCUUUUUAUUAAUAACAAGAAAUAGUAGUAUGAGUAUAAAAAUAAUAAACUAAGCUUUAAAGUAGUUAUGUUUUAAAAGUGUUUUAACUAAGUAAGAAGUAUUUAAAAAUUAUACUUUUCUUUAAUAUUAAAAAUUUAUUUGAAAUAGGAGAUAAUAAGAUAAAAUGAUUUUAUUAGUAGAAUAAUAAGUUUAAAGGUUAAAAUAAAAUAAAGUGAGGGGUUAUAGUUUUAAUAUAAAUAUUAAUAAGGAACUCGGCAAAUGGUUUUCUUGCCUGUUUAUCAAAAACAUGUCUAUUUGGAGUUUUAAGAAGUCUGGCCUGCCCACUGAUAGUAAGUUUUUAAGGGCCGCGGUAUUAUGACCGUGCUAAGGUAGCAUAAUCAUUAGGUUUUUAAAUGAGAUCUUGUAUGAAUGGUUGAACAAAGAAAGAACUGUCUUUAAUAAUAAAAUUUGAAUUUUACUUUUAAGUGAGAAGGCUUAAAUAAUUUAAGGGGACGAUAAGACCCUAUAAAACUUUACAUUGAAAUUAUAUUUGGUUGAAUUUUAAAGUGAUAAAGAUCUAAAAUAAAGAUUGUUGUGUUGGGGCGACAAAAGUAGAAAUUAUAGUAGCUGCUUGAAAAAGAAUCACUUUAAGUGAUAAAAGUUAUAGAUCUUAAUUAUAAAUUUAAAGAUUAAGUUACUUUAGGGAUAACAGUGUAAUUUUUUUUGAGAGUUCAUAUCGAAAAAAAAGUUUGUAACCUCGAUGUUGAAUUAAAAUAUCUAUAUAAUGAAGCAGUUGUAUAAGAGGGUCUGUUCGACCUUUAAUUUUUUACAUGAUUUGAGUUCAAAUCGGCGUGAGCCAGAUUGGUUUCUAUCUCUUAAGGAAGAAGAAUUAUUUUAGUACGAAAGGAUUAAAUAGUUAAAAUAGUUUUAAAAAGUUGG
rnacentral:rRNA from 1 species